rnacentral:misc_RNA from 1 species
AACCUUAUGGACCUGCGGGCGUAUACCUGCGGAAGGAUCAUUAUCGAGUGUUUAAACCCUUCUUUUGUAAAGGAGGGUUACCUCCCGUCCUUUGCUGAGGGCCCCUCCUAACUUUUGGAGGGGCUUUUCCAGAAAACCUACUGCUUCGGCGUGGUUUAUACCCGCCGGAACACCCUCAAAAAUUCUGGUCUCAAAACUGUUCAGUCCGAGGAAUUUUUUAAAAGCGAAAAAACUUUCAGC